rnacentral:rRNA from 1 species
UACGAAGGGGACGAGCGUUGUUCGGAAUUACUGGGCGUAAAGGGCGCGCAGGCGGUCCUUCAAGUCAGAUGUGAAAGCCCCGGGCUCAACCUGGGAACUGCAUUUGAGACUGGAGGACUUGAGGACGGGAGAGGAGAGUGGAAUUCCCAGUGUAGCGGUGAAAUGCGUAGAUAUCGGAAGGAACACCUGUGGCGAAAGCGGCUCACUGGACCAUUACUGACGCUGAGGCACGAAAGCUAGGGGAGCAAACAGG